UCGAUUGCAGACAUGUAAGUUAAGAUUUUGAUACAAAACACUAGUAAUAAUAGAUAAUAGAUUAAACAGCUAUUUCAAUUUUUUUUAUAUUAUUAUUAUUAGAGGCAGAAUGCAAACUACUAAAUAACGUCUAAGAAUUCUGUUGCACAUAUGCGCAAGUACUGUACGAGAGUUGAUUUAUUUGCUGUGAUUAUAGUGUCGUAACUUACUAAUUUUAAAAUAAAACGAACGCAUGAUGAUCACAAUCCUUCGAUGUAUUCUCCACCUUUGUGCGCAAUUCGCUGUCAAACUACUGGGAGGCGACGAAUACCGUCAGCAGCGUCAAUUUUAGCCAGUAUCUGGAGAUGUUGCCUCUAAAAAGUUCUUUCACUUUCGGUAAAAGUCUACACGUGGACUCGUAUUAGAGCCGUAACAAAGUUUAAUAGAAGAUUCUUCAUACAAUUUGUUAAGGAAUUGAAAACACGGGAUUUUAAGAUAGAAGAGAUGUAUUUCGCAAAAGAACUGCUAUCAAGAACUCAAGCCAUCACGUAAUCUGUAACAGCAAGCAGUAAAGAGGAAAUUAUUUAUUAACUUAAAAGAAGAAAUGUGAAUCAUCUAAAGAGAAAAACAGAAUAAAGAACUGAAAAUUUAAAUUUAUGUAUUAAGCAUCAAAAUCAUUUAAUUAUCAACAAUAAUUAUUUUUGUUUCAAAGUUUCUGAAAAUAUAUAAAUUAUUUUCAUAGCAUAU